ACAAUGUGGCUACUGAGCACUUUCAUCCUGACGGCUGGUUUUUCUUGCAGUUCUGCACAAGACUUGCAGCAGACCCCCAUAUCCAUCACCAAGGCAGAAAGCAAAACAGUGCUAAUCAACUGUCAUGUCUCCGAUCCUGAUUUUAACAACGUUUUCAUUCACUGGUACAGAAAGAGGCCAAACACAGCUCCCAAGCGCAUUGCCUACAUGUCCUCCCGGCUUUUCCUUGAAAACAAGUCUGAUGAUGGGAAAUUUAGUAUUGAGAAGGAUGCCACCAAAUCUGUCUGCACCCUGACAGUGAGCAAAGGAACUCUGCAAGACUCCGCUCCCUACUACUGUGCUAGGUGGGAUGCGCAGCAGUAG